AUGGUUCCCUUGGGCAUUCCCCAAAUCCCUCACGGGGGUGAAAUGGUGCCCUUGGGCAUUCCCCAAAUCCCUCAGGGGUGGAAAUGGUGCCCUUGGGCAUUCCCCAGAUCCCCCAGGGGUGGAAAUGGUGCCCUUGGGCAUUCCCCAAAAUCCCCCAGAGGGGUGGAAAUGGUGCCCUUGGACAUUCCCCAGAUCCCCCAGGGGGGUGAAAUGGUGCCCUUGGGCAUUCCCCAAAUCCCUCAGAGGGGUGAAAUGGUGCCCUUGGGCAUUCCCCAAAUCCCCCAGGGGUGGAAAUGGUGCCCUUGGGCAUUCCCCAAAUCUGCCAGAGGGGUGGAAAUGGUUCCCUUGGGCAUUCCCCAAAUCCCUCAGGGGGGUGAAAUGAUGCCCUUGGGUAUUUCCCAAAUCCGUCAGGGGUGGAAAUGGUGCCCUUGGGCAUUCCCCAAAUCCCUCAAGGGGGUGGAAAUGGUGCCCUUGGGCAUUCCCCAAAUCCCUCAGGGGGGUGGAAAUGGUGCCCUUGGACAUUCCCCAAAUCCCCCAGGGGUGGAAAUGGUGCCCUUGGGCAUUCCCCAAAUCCCUCAGGGGUGGAAAUGGUUCCCUUGGGCAUUCCCCAAAUCCCCCAGGGGGGUGAAAUGGUGCCCUUGGGCAUUCCCCAAAUCCGUCAGGGGGGUGGAAAUGGUGCCCUUGGGCAUUCCCCAGAUCCCCCAGGGGUGGACAUGGUGCCCUUGGGCAUUCCCCAAAUCCCUCAGGGGGGUGAAAUGGUGCCCUUGGGCAUUCCCCAAAUCCCCCAGGGGGGUGAAAUGGUUCCCUUGGGCAUUCCCCAAAUCCCCCAGAGGUGGAAAUGGUGCCCUUGGGCAUUCCCCAAAUCCGCCAGAGGGGUGGAAAUGGUGCCCUUGGGCAUUCCUCAAAUCUGCCAGAGGGGUGGAAAUGGUGCCCUUGGGCAUUCCCCAAAUCCCUCAGGGGGGUGAAAUGGUGCCCUUGGGCAUUCCCCAAAUCCCCCAGGGGUGGAAAUGGUUCCCUUGGGCAUUCCCCAAAUCCCCCAGGGGUGGAAAUGGUGCCCUUGGGCAUUCCCCAAAUCCCNACCUCGUGUCCAUUUAG
rnacentral:lncRNA from 1 species